UACGUAGGGUGCGAGCGUUAAUCGGAAUUACUGGGCGUAAAGCGUGCGCAGGCGGUUCGUUGUGUCGGCGGUGAAAUCCCCGGGCUCAACCUGGGAAUGGCCGUUGAAACUGGCGAACUGGAGUGUGGCAGAGGGGGGGUGGAAUUCCGCGUGUAGCAGUGAAAUGCGUAGAUAUCGAGAGGAACACCAGUGGCGAAGGCGAGUCCCUGGACAACACCUGACACUGAGGCACGAAAGCUAGGGGAGCAAACAGG
rnacentral:rRNA from 1 species